AUUGAACGCUGGCGGCAGGCCUAACACAUGCAAGUCGAACGAGUGGCGGACGGGUGAGUAACGCGUAGGAAACUGCCGCAGGGGGGGGGAUAACUAUUGGAAACGAUGGCUAAUCCCCAAUACUGUGAGAUGGACCUGCGUUGUAUGGGCUAGUUGGUGGGGUAAAGGCUCACCAAGGCGACGAUACAUAGCUGGUCUGAGGGGAUGACCAGCCACACUGGAACUGAGACACGGUCCAGACUCCUACGGGAGGCAGCAGUGGGGAAUAUUGCACAAUGGGCGCAAGCCUGAUGCAGCCAUGCCGCGUGUAUGAAGAAGGCCUUCGGGUUGUAAAGUACUUUCAGCGGGGAGGCGUUACCCACAGAAGAAGCACCGGCUAACCCCGUGCCAGCAGCCGCGGUAAUAC
rnacentral:rRNA from 1 species